rnacentral:rRNA from 1 species
GGAGUUAGCCGGUGCUUCUUCUGCGAGUAACGUCACAGAUGUAAGGUAUUAACUUACACCCUUUCCUCCUCGCUGAAAGUGCUUUACAACCCGAAGGCCUUCUUCACACACGCGGCAUGGCUGCAUCAGGGUUUCCCCCAUUGUGCAAUAUUCCCCACUGCUGCCUCCCGUAGGAGUCUGGGCCGUGUCUCAGUCCCAGUGUGGCUGAUCAUCCUCUCAGACCAGCUAGGGAUCGUCGCCUAGGUGAGCCUUUACCUCACCUACUAGCUAAUCCCACCUGGGCUUAUCCAUCAGCGCAAGGCCCGAAGGUCCCCUGCUUUCCCCCGUAGGGCGUAUGCGGUAUUAGCAGUCGUUUCCAACUGUUAUCCCCCACAAAUGGGCAAAUUCCCAGGCAUUACUCACCCGUCCGCCGCUCGUCAUCUUCAAAAGCAAGCUUUUGAAAUGUUACCGCUCGACUUGCAUGUGUUAGGCCUGCCGCCAGCGUUACAAUCUGAGCCAGGAUCAAACUCUGA